rnacentral:rRNA from 1 species
UACGUAGGGGGCUAGCGUUGUCCGGAAUCAUUGGGCGUAAAGCGCGUGUAGGCGGUCCGGUAAGUCCGCUGUGAAAGUCGGGGGGUCAACCCUCGGAUGCCGGUGGAUACUGUCGGGCUUGAGUACGGAAGAGGCGAGUGGAAUUCCUGGUGUAGCGGUGAAAUGCGCAGAUAUCAGGAGGAACACCGAUGGCGAAGGCAGGUCACUGGGCCGCAACUGACGCUGAGGCACGAAAGCGUGGGGAGCAAACAGG